rnacentral:rRNA from 1 species
UACGAGGAUGCAAGCGUUAUCCGGUAAUGAUUGGGCGUAAAGCGUCCGCAGGUGGCUAUGUAAGUCUGACCGUCGUUAAAGAGUGAGGACUCAACCUCAUAAGAGCAGUGGGAAACUACAUGGCUAGAGUGCGAUUCGGGGCAGAGGGAAUUCCUGGAUGUGAGCGGUGAAAUGCGUAGACGAGUCAAGGAAGAACACCGGUGGCGAAAGCGCUCUGGCUAAGGCCGCAACCUGACACUCAAUGGACGAAAGCUAGGGGAGCGAAUGGGAUUAGAUA